GAAAUGCGAUGAGUAAUGUGAAUUGCAGAAUUCAGUGAAUCAUCGAAUCUUUGAACGCACAUUGCGCCCCCUGGUAUUCCGGGGGGCAUGCCUGUUCGAGCGUCAUUUCACCACUCAAGCCUCGCUUGGUAUUGGGCGACGCGGUCCGCCGCGCGCCUCAAAUCGACCGGCUGGGUCUUCCGUCCCCUCAGCGUUGUGGAAACUAUUCGCUAAAGGGUGCCGCGGGAGGUCACGCCGCAAAACAACCCCAUUUCUAAGGUUGACCUCGGAUCAGGUAGGGAUACCCGCUGAACUUAAGC
rnacentral:misc_RNA from 1 species